UGUUGGUUGUCGCGUUCGUGUGCGCGCACUGAGAAAAACGGAACGCCACAGUUGCACUUUCAGUUGCAAUUCCUCUACAUAUUCCUCGAGUCCCCCGAUUUCUGAGUUGUUCCCCCGCCGCCCCUCAAGUGCGUGCGUUUCAGCCAAACCACAACCAAAACCAAAACAAAACAACUACCGAAUCGCGUUCAAGAUACAACCUACAACCAAUAUCAAGAGGCAUAUAUAGAAUAGUUUGAGGCGAGGAGGAAAAAAACCCUGCUGCGGAGGGCAUUUGCAUUUUGUUUACCUCGAUGGCUGUGUGGAGUGCAAUUUGACGAUUAUAUAAUAUAACAAAAUACAAAAUACAAAAAAAGGAAAACAAAUAAAUGUGCGCGGCAUUCGAUUUUAAUUGCGAACAACUACAAUAACCACUGAAGAAGAAGAAAAAGAACAGAUCUUUUGCAGUAAUAUGUUGCCUUUAAACCAACAACCAAAGUUAACGCAACGUUUCUAAAACUUUAAGUCUAAAUACCAAAUAAUAAAUUCAAAGUACACAAUUAAAUUAAAACCAAACCAAAAGUGGCCUGCAAAACGAAGCAACUAACUAAACAACAACCAAGAAAUGUGAUUCAAAGUGUGCAAUGUAACCAAAUUAUUAGUAAAAAGCUAAAGCAAACCAAAUCGAAGGGAAGGGAAAAGCCGUGGAAAAUCAGCGGGAAAACCAAAGCCAGGCCAAAUGGAAAUCAAGGAAUCCGGAAGCGAAUCGAAUAGCCAACUAGCAGCCAACGUGGCCAAUGAUUAAGGGAACACUUUGUUAGCCAACUCGUAGUAGCAGCAUCCCCGUCCACACAUCACAACACCCGGAACACAGCCACUCAGCCAAAACACAGAACCGAUUGACCUCCCCUAGCAGCCCCCGAUGCCCGGAAAGAAGGCGUUGGAGCAACAAUUGUAGAAUAGACAGCCAGACAACCACAUCAGCGCAGCUCAGCCCCCAGCCCCGGAACACCAAAAUCCAAACUCCAGACCCCGAAUUCCAAACUCAACUCCAACUCAAUCUCAAUCACGAGCCAAAACCCCCAACAUGGACAUCAAGAUUGAGCAGCAGCAGCAACAGCAGCAAGUGGAGCUGGGACCCUGUUCCCCCUCGGAGGUUCCCAAUGAUCCCGGAAAAAUGUUCAUUGGCGGCCUCAGUUGGCAGACAAGUCCAGAGAGCUUACGCGAUUACUUCGGACGAUAUGGUGAUAUCUCAGAGGCUAUGGUCAUGAAGGAUCCCACGACGCGCAGAUCCAGAGGCUUCGGCUUUGUCACAUUCAGCGAUCCAAAUAGCGUAGAUAAGGUACUCACCCAAGGCACACACGAGCUGGAUGGCAAAAAGGUCGAUCCGAAAGUAGCUUUUCCGCGCCGAGCACAUCCCAAGAUGGUGACGAGAACGAAGAAAAUCUUUGUGGGCGGCCUCUCGGCGCCCACCACACUGGAGGAUGUCAAAAGUUACUUCGAACAGUUUGGUCCGAUCGAGGAUGCCAUGUUGAUGUUUGACAAGCAGACCAAUCGGCACAGAGGUUUUGGCUUCGUUACAUUUCAAAGCGAAGAUGUGGUAGACAAAGUUUGCGAAAUUCAUUUCCACGAGAUAAACAACAAAAUGGUCGAGUGCAAGAAGGCGCAGCCGAAGGAGGUGAUGCUGCCGGCCAACCUGGCCAAGACGCGGGCUGCCGGACGCUCCGCAUACGAUAACAUCAUGUGGGGACUGGGGACAUUGCCCGAAGGUUUUCCGGCAGCUGCCUAUGCUGCCUAUGCCGCUGGUCGCGGAUAUUCGGGCUAUCCCAGUUUUGGACUGCCCUAUCCAACUGUUGAUCUAACCAACGGGCAGCUGACCCCCAACAACAAUACACCGCUGCUGACCCAGGCGCUGUCAGUGAUGAACAACUAUCAGGCGGCUGCCGCGGCCGCCCACAGCUAUGGACCGUCGGCCUCGCCGCACGCCGCCGCCGCCAACACGGCCACCCGGCAGGGAUUCCCGUCGACCAACUCGCCCGGCCCCACCAUCGACAUGUACAGCUCGGCGGCCGCCGACAACGUGGGCUACGUGCAGGCCACCAGUCCGCAGCCGUCCGGCUUUCCCAUCGCCGUCAGCCGAGCCCCGUUGAACUACAGCCCGAUUUAUUCGUUGAACUUUGCGAUGGCUAAUAUAUAAAAGACUGAUAACCCAAAAAUAUAAAUGCAAGAGAACAAAAAAACAAACAAAAAAGAUAUGCAAAAAGUAAAUGAAACCAAUUAUAUAUUUAAAUCGAAAAAAUAUAUGAAAAAAAGAUACAAAUAAAAUAAAAGCUAAACGAAAGCAAACAAAAGAAAUAAGAGUAUAAACAAAAACGCAGUUGCACAAGGGACCACUAAUUCCUGCGGCAUUUACAAAUGGAUACCAUUAAAAGGUGGCGCCGACAACCGCAAUGAGAACAACAACAACAACAACAGCAACAAAAGGCAGCAGCAGCAACAACAACAGCAUUAUUAACAACAACAACAACAGCAACAGGAGCAACAAAUGCAACAGCAACUUUAGCAACAAAUGACAGACACACACACACUCACACACAGUCACACACACUUACAAACUGCAGUGCUGCAACCGCAGAGCGCAAAAAAAAGAAGAAAAAAUAAUUUAAAAUUAUAUAUAUAUAUAUACCUGCAUAUAUAUAAAUAUAAAUCAAAUAAAGUACAUAUUACAUAUUUGUGUAUCCCCCACAAAUGGCAAAAAUGAAAUCCGUUAAGCAAGAAAAACCGAGACAACUGCAAGAGCAACAAACAAUAAACCAAACACACAUAUUAUAAUUAAUUAAUUAACGUAUAUUACAAAUACGUACAUAUUAACGCAUGGCAAAAAAGAAAAAAAAAUGAAUAUGAAAAAAGUAAAAAUGUGGAAAAAAAAACGAUGAGGACGAACUACGAGCGAACACAAACAAAAAAAUUAAUUUUAAUUUAACAACCACUACAACAACAGCGGCAAGAACAACGCUCGGCCCCGAAAGAUGCAACGUGUGCAGCAAAAAUCGUUUAAAAUGCAAAUUAAACGGAAACUGCGCGUCCAACUGGAGUGGAGUGCCAUCGCGGUGGGCGGCUGUGGCCCGGUGGGCGUGGCCCUGCUCACACAGCAAAAAAUCCGGAGGCCUCACGCCCACUCGCCGCCCACCGCCCACGGAUGACAACCAGGCCAAAAGGGGCGUAACCACUUUUAAGUAAUGAGAAACCAACAAACGAAGGCAAAAAACACAAAAAACAAAAAAAGGAAAUCACAAAAAAAUCGAGGGGGUUACUAAUAAAACGAUAGAGUUGAAAAAAAAAAAAACAAAUCAGAUAAAGCAAAAAUGUUGCAAUAAUAGCGAAAAUGUUAUUAUUUAAUUGCGUAUUAUUAAAGGCAAAUUAUUAUUACCAUUAUUAUUGCUAUUCUUAACGUAUCUAAGUUGUAACUUUUAAAGUUAAAAUCGAUAUAUAUAUAUAUAUAUAUAUACAUAUAUAUACAAGAAUAUACACUCUUAUACACGUAAAUUAAACUGCAAUAUAUACAAAGGGAAUUACUUGAAUCAAAACGCGAAAUCCAACCACAAGUUAUUGUACUUUCAACGAUAAUUAUCGAUUUAGCAACACUGGCGUGCAGAGGAGCUUGAAAACGUUAAUCGGUAUCGGUUGGGCUUAGUUUUCAUUUCUCGACUGGGUUGGGGGUGAAUCAAAUCAAAAUUGUGCUUACAAUUAUAUUUAUGAAUUUAUUUUAAAGUACAACAAAUCCUUUAUUGGCCAAAGUAAACAACAAAGAAACAAAAGCGAAUGUGAGCAAAAGUCGAAGGCAAUUUGUUAUUAACUAUGUUGAGGUUCUCUUUCUCAUUAUUUCAAUCGAAUCAGGGGAACGUAGAGGCAAAAAAAAGAAAACCUAUAACUUUUGUGUUCACAUUGAAAGCAAAAUGGUAAAUAAUGCUAAUUAAACAGUGGAUAGUUAGACAAAUAUGUUAAAGCAUUAAAUAUGACAAUGAAAGCGAAGUGAGAGAGUGAAUUUCCGUAGCUCGAGGCAUAAAUCAAUUUAUUUGCUAAAACAAUGGAGAAUCCAAAACAAUGAAAACUGCAGAAAGCAACUCCCUAAAUAUGUAAGAAACACACAAUUUUUCAGAUACAACACAGCACACACACAUAUACAAACACUCACAGACACACACACACACACACAGACAGGACACAGAUCUUACGGAUAAAUCAAAAAGAAACACUUAAACAAAUUAGUUGGUAAGAGCAUAUGCAAAUAUAACAAUGAACUAUUAUACAUACAACAUAUAGUACGAUUAAGUAAAUAAAAUAUUUAUAAAACAAACGCGCAAAAUCGCAAAUGUUUGAACACUUAACUAAAUAUAUCUGUAAACAAGCGUGUAAAAAGGAUCACAGAUGAGCGAUGAGCCACAUAAAAUGGUAGUGGAAAAUUGGAAAUGCGAAUAUGGUUAUGGAAAUCAUGAUGUCGAGUUGAAAUGCAGGCCACGCAAUGUGCAAUUAAUUUUUUUCUAGUCGCUCCGUCCGGCAAAUCGCCCGGACGAUGGAUGUACUAGGCAUAUUUGAGGAUUAUGACGAUAACGACGACGAUGCAAUCGGGGGCGUAAUAGAAAAAUAUAUUUAUAUACAACUAUAUGGAGUAUUAAAUUAUUGGAAAAGCAAAACCAAACAAAACCUAUCAGCUAGAUAAGUAAACGACAUUUGUUACACACAGCAAGUGGGGGAAAAUUGCGAGCAACACAAAAACCCAAAAAAAUAAUAGCAGAGAGAAGGAAAUAUUCUAUAAUUGACAGAACAACAAUACGUUGCGCUUUUUCUCUGUCUGAGAUUUUUUGCAUUAGGCGACGUAAAAACCAGAUACAAAAAAAAAAACUUAAACAAAAACAAAAGCAGAGACAGAGACAGGAAAAGCCAGUGGAAAAACAAAGCAAAUGCCGAAACAGUGAAAAUGUUCCUUUCAUAACUUUUUUGCCAAAUUGUCAAACCAACGCUCUCCAGGACUUUUGUCGAGUCUCGGACCAAUAAACUUACACAUUACCUAUAUAGUAGAGGGAAAUCGCGGGAACCGAAACCAAAAGAUCCGGACAAAAACCAUAUACGAAGUUUAAGGACGGACAAGAAAUAGUUGCAGUGUAACAUAAAGUACAUUUAAUCCUUAAAGUGUUGAGCCCCCCACACACACACACCGAUCAUUUCAGAUUUUCCAAAGAUCGCGUCUUGCGACUUUGCCAUGUGCAUCACACUUAUAAAUAAUCAAAAACAAAAUACAGAAGGUAACAAAUUAAGGAAGCGAAAAGACAGAAAUCUUCAAUUUUAGAUAGACAAAGAUCAGACCACGGGAGUUUGGAAGAGGACCUUUGCCAGGUGUGGAUUACUUUAGAAGGUCACAGGUCAUUGGGGAGAAUUCCAGAUGCAGCUUCUGCCCCGCGGGGCGGAUAUUUUUAAACGGGAAAGCUAGCGAAGGGCAGCAACGGCAAACAUGUUAUAUUUGCAUAAUAUAUAUAUAUAUAUAUUAAACCUACUUCUAAGGCAUAUAUAAAUAUAUAAAUAAAUAUAUUUUUAAGACAUGUUCUAAAAGCAAUAAUUCAAAACAACAACCAGCGUGGCGGAGGCAGAAUAUAAUUGAAAAAAAAACCACAAAAGGAAUACAUAAAAUAUACACCAAUAUAUAAAUAUACAUAAAGAUAUAUACACCUACACGUAAAUAUAUACAUGCAUACCAGAUAUAUAUAUUAAAGAAAGCGAUUAGCUUGAGUCUGGAGAAAUCAUUUCGCAGGCAGCUAAGCCUGUGUUGCUACACUUCUUUAACUAGAGCCCCGAUCCACGAUCAGUGGGCCGGCAAUCGUUUGGACUCGUAUUAUUUGUGGUGUAGGUGGACGAGGGAUGGGGGUGCCCUAGAUAGUCUCGGGAUCCCAGGUCCCACGUUACGUUUAUAGUACGUUGUAAGUCGAUGCAGCUUUAGGUGUAAUGUUGAGUCUUUCCUAGAAGUUUCCCCAGCAUUUCCCCGCUAACGAUCGACUCUAGGCUUUCUGUUUGUGUUUUGUAGUGCUCUAUGUAUUCUAUAAGAACCUUAUGCGGAAGCUAUAGCCGAUCAGAGACAUAUAUAACUAUUGGUAUACCGGAUCAACUUCAGCUUAAAGAAUACCGUAACAACAAGCAAUGCGUCCUUGUAAACAAAAUCAAUUUCAGUCAAUUAGAGAAUUUCCAACACCAACCAGGCACAGAGACAUAAAGACAACAACAAGCUACAAAAAAACAUUUUUUAAAAACCAAAAAAAAAAAGCGAACAAACAAAGACAUAACAAAAAACAAACAUUUUUCAUUAUUUUUUUACUGAUGCGCCGUCAUAGCGAAGGGAAUACAGGAUGAGAUCGCGAGAGCUUGACGGCGCAGGCGCAAAAGCUUUAAAUUGAACAAAAUAUGAAUAACACGAACAAGGAGAACAAUUUAUAGAAUUCGACAGAUGGGCUCUCUUUUUUAUAUCGAGAACGGAGAAGUGAGUGUAUAAAAAGUAUGCCGUAACGAUUUUUUAAAAAUAAUGUACCCCAUACUUUAAGCUAUACGCAACUUUCGGUCAAAAAGUCAAUUGGUGGUCGAAGCCGGGUAGGAAGCCAAAAGUUAAAUAUAUAAACGAAAAGACAUAAAGUGUAAUGUAAAAUAGUUUUAAAUUGGCGAAACACCAGAAGACGACGAAGAUGAUGAUGAAGAUUGGGUGUAGGCGGAGUUACGUAGUUACAUAUACGAAUUGCUUUCCGUUUUUCUCUUAUUAUUGACUUACAAACAUAUCAGUUCUUAUUAUGUGUAUGAGUAUAGCAACAACAUCAACAAAUACGAUUACAAUUACGAUAACGAUUACGAUAAUGAAAUACAAUUUAACUAAUAUCUAGCGCUAACGAACGAAGAAAAUUUCUGUUUACCAAAACCCAGAACAACAAUAACCACACAGAUGAGUAAGACAAGCCGACCAGCUGGCCUUUUUGAGAAGCGCGGAGAGCGGCGCAAAAGGGCGCCUGGCAGGACUUACGACUUGUGGGCCUUCUACACUUUGACGUGCUUUUAUACGAUAGCAAUCCUUUAACUCACACGAGACAUUUCUAUCCUUGGUUCUUUUUUAUAGACAUGUGUACAUACACCUCACGUCACUCACAUAAACCACACACACUCACAGACACACACACCAAUACACACUCAGCCACAGACACAGACACUGGCACACGCAUAUAUACGAUGGAGAUCACAUACAAAAGAACCUUCAUACGAACGAUCACUUGACUAUUUUUGCUAUAAGUAAGAAAUUCCCCCCAGGAAUGUGUCAGUCGGAAGUGGCAGAACUCCUGCUGACAAAACACCUUUACUAUAUUGACAAUAUCUCUUAUAUAUUUUACACUAUACUAUAUGGAAAAUUAUAUAUUAAUAUAUACAAGAAAAUGAGGAAAACCAAAAACAAAUAAUACAUAAUUGAGGCAAGACGAACGGCGUGAGUGGCGUUAAAAUUGUAUUUACAAGAAAUGCGUAACCAAGCAAGAUGAAAUCAUUUUAAUACUUUAUACACAUAAAAGUCAAAGGAAUCUUUAGAGACAAAACCAGGCGGCAGAUGAAUAUGCAACUACAAGACAGACAACAAGACGAUGAAAAUGAAUAUGAAAAUGAAGAUGAAGAUGAAGAUACAUUUAUAAAAUGCGCCAUAGCAGGGCGUCCAGUUUGUAAGUAUUCUAACUAUGUAAGUAAAGUAAUUAAGGAGCGCAGGACGAGAAUCAAUUAAACAUACAUACUGUCUACGAAGUCGCCGAGCCGAGAGCUUUGGCAACUUUCAGUGCGAAUACUUUAACACAAAUGAAUCCAGAUGGAAUGGAGUGGAUGCGAUGGGUUCGGGUGAUUUGAAAUCGGACACAUUGGGGAUGGGUUGAUGAUGAAUGUUGGAUGCGAAAAUGGGGAUGCGAGAUUGCCAAUGUGUGUACAUAAGCAUAAACAUAACAUAAACUGGUACAGUACUACACUUACAGCAAACUAUACAAGGUAAAAGAACAUAAUAAUUAACAGCCAGAUGGCGGGAGACACAUACACAUAAAUAGAAGCAUAACGAGAAUUUAAUAAACAGUUUUUCAUUUCUAUAAAGAAAUCCGGUAACGAAUUUGUAUAUUUACUACGAGAAAACGCAUAAAACAAAAGACAACAAAAUCCCAAGUAUAUACAAAAAGAUAUAUAUUAAAGGGAGGACAGACCCAAAAAUAUGAAGGCCGACGAACCUUUCUGAGAACAGCAAAUAUGCCCGUAUAUACAUAUAUGAGAAUAAAACCCAAAAUGAUAUAUAUACAUAUAUAUACAUAGUUAUAUAACCAAGAACAACAAAUAACAUAUAGUUAAAUUCAAUAAUGUUAAGCAUUCGAUGAGCAAACAGACAGACAGGCACGCAUAUUGGUGGCAAAAGAAAUUCAAUUAUAUAUAAGGACCCUCGAACCGAAAAGAACAUAACCAUGCGGCCACCAACAACAAUACCAUCAACAAUGGCAACAUCCUUAAAAACGACAACAGCAAGUGCAACAUUUAUUAACAGACGACAAAAGGCAAAUUGUUGCUUUCAACAUACACACCAAAUUACAUAAGUUUUUAACAAACACCCAUACACACCUUUCCCACACACACACACACACACACACACAUUGAACACCCCCACUCACACACUCAACCCGCAAUAUGUAUAUGCAACAAAAAUGCGAACAACUUUAGCAGCAAAUUAAAAAUCACUUUGUUCACAAUGUGCCACGUACAGGGAGGAUAUAGAUGAGGUUCUUGGGGACUAAUAUCCGUUGUCCCCUCGAUCAGGUUAAGAUCGGCAGUGAAAUCGGCAGAAUCAGCAGCAACAACAGAGAUCAGCAACCGCAUAUUAAACGAAAAAAAAAAAGAAAAACAAAAGAACAGAAAACUAAAACAUGAUUUUAAACAAAAA